GGGGGUGUAUGGAUUCGACGGGGCUCAGAGAUUCACAGGGUGCAUGCCGAGGUGCGGUCACCUCGUAAAAAGGCCGCAACAAAUAACUGCCAACACAAAUUACGCACUCGCUGCCUAAUUAGUAGGCAGCGCGCCCUUCCUGGAGUUAGCCCUCACUCCAGGAUAAGGGUGUCAUAGAGGAGGGCUAUGGUCAGGGAGUUUUCUCCAGGCUCUCUGACCGAGAUAAUACUGGAGACCUCCACUUCCGGUCUCCCGCCUGCCGGAGGGAAGUGGAGUCCGCUUAGGCGGAAGAGGCAGGCUAAGCAUGUAGGACCCUGUGGGUUGGAGACCCCGGACGCGGGUUCGAUUCCCGCCACCUCCACCA
rnacentral:tmRNA from 1 species